rnacentral:rRNA from 1 species
UACGAAGGGGGCUAGCGUUGUUCGGAAUUACUGGGCGUAAAGCGCACGUAGGCGGAUAUUUAAGUCAGGGGUGAAAUCCCAGAGCUCAACUCUGGAACUGCCUUUGAUACUGGGUAUCUGGAAUAUGGAAGAGGUGAGUGGAAUUCCGAGUGUAGAGGUGAAAUUCGUAGAUAUUCGGAGGAACACCAGUGGCGAAGGCGGCUCACUGGUCCAUUACUGACGCUGAGGUGCGAAAGCGUGGGGAGCAAACAGG